rnacentral:lncRNA from 1 species
AUGUUCUCGUCUUCACAUUUCUUGUUAAAACAGUCCUCCUUCCAUGUUGCACCACAGGGCCAGCUUUGGUUAUUUUUAAUGUCUCUACAUUCACAAGGUGUAGUUGUUGGUGUCGAGGUAGUGGUUGUAGUGGUAGUGGAUGUAGUUGUAGUUGAUGGUGUCAAGGUGGUGGUUGUUGGAGGUGUAGUUGUUGGCGUUAAUGUGGUUGUUGUUGUAGUAGUUGUAGAUGUUGUUGAAGUUGUUGGAGGUGUAGUUGUCGGUGUGACUAUGGUGGUUGUUGGAGGUGUUGUUGUUGGUGUUAAGGUUGUGGUUGUGGACGUAGUUGGAGGUGUAGUUGUUGGUGUCAAGGUAGUCGUUGUAGUAGUAGUAGAGGUAGUAGUUGUUAGCGUAGUGGUAGGUGUCACAGUGGUGGUUGUUGUGGGUGAAGUUGUUGGUGUCAAGGUAGUUGUUGUAGGUGUUGUUGUUGGUGUUAAAGUAGUGGUUGUGGUUGUGGACGUAGUUGGAGUUGUUGUAAGUGUAGUUGUUGGUGUGACUGUGGUGGUUGUUGUAGGUGUUGUUGGUGUUAAUGUAGUGGUUGUAGUUGUGGACGUAGUUGUAGUAGUUGGAGGUGUAGUUGUUGGUGUCAAAGUAGUGGUUGUAGUAGUAGUGGUUGUAGUUGUGGAUGUAGUUGUAGUAGUUGGAGGUGUAGUUGUUGGUGUCAAGGUAGUCGUCGUAAUAGAUGUGGAUGUAGUUGUACUUGUUGGUGGAGUUGUAGGUGUCACUGUGGUGGUUGUUGUGGGUUUAGUUGUAGGUGUCAAGGUAGUUGUAGUCGUAGUGGAUGUAGUUGUAGAUGUUGUAGGUGUUGUUGUAGGUGUCACUGUGGUGGUGGUUGUAGGUGUAUUUGUAGUUGAUGGUGUCAAGGUAGAGGUUGUAGUAGUAGUGGUUGAAGUUGUAGUUGUGGAGGUAGUUGUAGUAGUUGGAGGUGUAGUUGUUGGUGUCAAGGUAGUCGUUGUAGUAGAUGUGGAUGUAGAUGUACUUGUAGGUGGAGUUGUAGGUGUCACUGUGGUGGUUGUUGUAGGUGUUGUUGUUGGUGUUAAGGUAGUUGUUGUAGUUGUGGAUGUCGUAGUAGUUGGAGGUGUAGUUGUUGGUGUCAAGGUAGUUGUAGGUGUUGUUGUUGGUGUUAAGGUAGUGGUUGUAGUUGUGGAUGUAGUUGGAGUUGUUGUAGGUGUAGUUGUUGGUGUGACUGUGGUGGUUGUUGUAGGUGUUGUUGUUGGUGUUAAGGUAGUCGUUGUAGUUGUGGACGUAGUUGUAGUAGUUGGAGGUGUAGUUGUUGGUGUCAAGGUAGUGGUUGUAGUUGUAGUCGUAGUGGAUGUAGUUGUAGGUGUUGUUGUAGGUGUCACUGUGGUGGUGGUUGUAGGUGUAAUUGUAGUUGAUGGUGUCAAGGUAGUGGUUGUUGUAGUAGUGGUUGUAGUUGUAGUUGUGAUGUAGUAGUAGUUGGAGUGUAGUUGUUGGUGUCAAGGUAGUGGUUGUAGUUGUGGACGUAGUUGGUGUAGUUGUUGGUGUGACUGUGGUGGUUGUUGUAGGUGUUGUUGUUGGUGUUAAGGUAGUGGUUGUAGUUGUGGACGUAGUUGUAGUAGUUGUAGGUGUUGUUGGUGUCAAGGUAGUCGUUGUAGUAGAUGUGGAUGUAGUUGUACUUGUAGGUGGAGUUGUAGGUGUCACUGUGGUGGUUGUUGUGGGUGUAGUUGUAGGUGUCAAAGUAGUUGUUGUAGUAGUAGUAGUGGAUGUAGUUGUAGAUGAUGUUGUAGGUGUUGUUGUAGGUGUUUCUGUGGUGGUGGAUGUAGGUGUAGUUGUAGUUGAUGGUGUCAAGGUAGUAGUUGUAGUUGUGGAUGUAGUUGUAGUAGUUGGAGGUGUAGUUGUUGGUGUUAAUGUGGUUGUAGUUGAUGGUGUCACGGUAGUUGUUGUAGUGGGUGUUGUUGUAGGUGUCAAGGUAGUGGUUGUAGUAGUAGUGGAUGUAGUUGUAGUUGAUGGUGUCAAGGUAGUGGUUGUUGGAGGUGUAGUUGUUGGUGUUGAUGUGGUUGUUGUUGUAGGUGUCACAGUGGUAGUUGUAGUAGUUGUAGUUGUGGUUGUUGUAGGUGUAGUUGUUGGUAGCGUAGUUGAUGGUGUCACUGUGGUGGUGGUACUAGUAGUUGUAGGUAUUGUUGUUGGAGUCGGUGGUGCUGUGUAAAACAUACUUUUAUAAAUAAUUUGAAUACAAUUUUAGAAAGGGAAUUUAGAUUAUGUUUGAUACUUACAACAGUAAACUGUUCCAUUUGAACAGGAGCUAAUUGUAAAAGAGAGAAUAAUAAGAACCAAAGUAAUGUAUCAUUUUAUUUUCAAAUCAUAGUUUGGUGCAGGCAACUUACCACUCAUCAGAUACUGGUCCUGGUGGAACAACAGUGUCAUUGAAAUAACAGCUGCAGUUCCUGAGUUGAGUGCAUUUGCUUGUAUUUUCAUCAAAGUAUGGUGUUUCUUUUGGACAUCUUGGGUAGCAACCUUCACAAAAAAUAAAUCAAAUGUAUAACAUUUUUGGAGAAAACUAUCAUUGUUAUUGUUACCUUAAGUUAAGACUCAAAUGUAAUUUACAAAAGUCUUU